rnacentral:rRNA from 1 species
CACGUAGGAGACAAGCGUUAUUCGGAUUUACUGGGCGUAAAGCGCGUGCAGGCGGUUCGGUAAGUUGGAUGUGAAAGCUCCUGGCUCAACUGGGAGAGGUCGUUCAAUACUGUCGGACUAGAGGAUGGGAGAGGGAGGUGGAAUUCCGGGUGUAGUGGUGAAAUGCGUAGAUAUCCGGAGGAACACCAGUGGCGAAAGCGGCCUCCUGGCCCAAACCUGACGCUCAGACGCGAAAGCUAGGGGAG